rnacentral:rRNA from 1 species
UACGGGGGGAGCAAGCGUUGUUCGGAUUUACUGGGCGUAAAGGGCGCGUAGGCGGUCAGCACAAGUCAGUUGUGAAAUCUCCGGGCUUAACUCGGAAAGGUCAACUGAUACUGUGCGACUAGAGUGCAGAAGGGGCAACUGGAAUUCUCGGUGUAGCGGUGAAAUGCGUAGAUAUCGAGAGGAACACCUGCGGCGAAGGCGGGUUGCUGGGCUGACACUGACGCUGAGACGCGAAAGCGUGGGGAGCGAACAGG